rnacentral:rRNA from 1 species
CUCUCAGCUUAUUUUGCGCAGCUUAGGUGGGAGGCUAUGAACCUUUUCUUCUGGGAAGAGGGGAGCCAUCAGUGGGAUACCACUCUUGGUAAGCUAGAGCGCUCAGUCUUCACCGUCAUCCGGUAAGACGACAGUUUCAGGCGGGCAGUUUGACUGGGGCAGUCACCUCCCAAAAGGUAAUGGAGGUGUGCAAAGGUUCCCUCAGGCUGGACGGAAAUCAGCCAUAGAGUGUAAAAGCAUAAGGGAGCUUGACUGCGAGACUGACAUGUCAAGCAGAGACGAAAGUCGGCUUUAGUGAUCCGACGGUGCUGUGUGGAAAGGCCGUCGCUCAACGGAUAAAAGUUACUCUAGGGAUA